rnacentral:rRNA from 1 species
UCUCCUGGAAAAAGGGUGGUAAUGCCGGAUGCUCCAGUUGACCGCAUGGUCCUCUGGGAAAGCUUUUGCGGUAUGGGAUGGGGUCGCGUCCUAUCAGCUUGAUGGCGGGGUAACGGCCCACCAUGGCUUCGACGGGUAGCCGGCCUGAGAGGGCGACCGGCCACAUUGGGACUGAGAUACGGCCCAGACUCCUACGGGAGGCAGCAGUGGGGAAUAUUGCACAAUGGGCGCAAGCCUGAUGCAGCGACGCCGCGUGCGGGAUGACGGCCUUCGGGUUGUAAACCGCUUUUGACUGGGAGCAAGCCCUUCGGGGUGAGUGUACCUUUCGAAUAAGCACCGGCUAACUACGUGCCAGCAGCCGCGGUAAUACGUAGGGUGCAAGCGUUAUCCGGAAUUAUUGGGCGUAAAGGGCUCGUAGGCGGUUCGUCGCGUCCGGUGUGAAAGUCCAUCGCUUAACGGUGGAUCCGCGCCGGGUACGGGCGGGCUUGAGUGCGGUAGGGGAGACUGGAAUUCCCGGUGUAACGGUGGAAUGUGUAGAUAUCGGAAAAGAACACCACCC